AUGAAACCAGAAGCAUCUGAAAAGGUUAAAGUGGAAGAAACACCUGAACAAAAUGUGCUACUUGAAACACCUGAGAGGUUAUCACAAAAUGAAAUGGGAAAACUUUUUCUUGAAGAAUUUUUUCCUGUCCAUAAAGAAUAUGAACAGGAAAGUGCUCUUGUUCCUUCAAAACUAACUCUAAGAGUGCUCAGUGCCCAGGAAGAUGUGGCUAAAAGAAGAAUGGGGACAACAAAAGUGGAAGAUAAAACCAUUUGUGCAGCUGUUGGACUUGAUGAAAGAAUUUCAAAUGUAUGGAAUGAGGGAAUGAAAAUAGGUGCUUAUAAGGAAGGUGAAGAAACCCAGUCAUUCAAGGAGACUGAUCUUCCACUAAAAGAAACAGAAGAGAUUCUCUUAAGUGAACAAGUCCAAGAAUCUCCUGAAAAGAUCAGUUUAAUCUCCAGAUGGAAAUCUGGCCUCAAAUAUAAAGACACUGAACCUCAGGGAAAUAGAGGAGAAGGAAUUUCUGAAGAAACACUUCAAAUCCAUCAGAAAACAAAAAAGAACAUUGGUGUGCUAGAAAAGCCAAAGAAUAGUUAUGGCCAGAUGAAAGAUGACAACAUUCAUAGGUUUGAUUUAAUUUGUUCUCAAAAACAGGUAAUUGAAGAAAAAGUCCAUAUAACAACUGAUUUGAAGAAAGCUAUAGAUGACUUAGUCAAAGAAAGUCAAGGUCCUAUUGCAGAAGCUAAGGAAACUGAUAAUAACACUUUGCAAGAGAAAAAAACAUUUGAACUCAAAGAAAAAGAAGAGGAGGGCAAAAGAGAAGUAGAUACAGGGGAAAUAGAAACCAAGGCAAUAUCAGAAGCACAAAUAAAGAAAGAAGUUGAAAAUCUAGAAACUGUAGUAGUAGAAAUUGUAGGGCAUGCAGUAACAGCAAAAUCAGAUAUAGAAGAGCACAAAUGGAAACUUGAGCCAAAACAAAGCAUCAUUUCAACAAAUGAACAGGAUGUUGAGGCUUUCAAAGAAAAGGCUAAAAAAUCAGAUGACCUAAGUGAUAUUAUAAGCUCCAAGUCUCCAAAGGCAGCUCCCUCCUCUUUUUCCAUGGUUGAGAGGCAGAAAGCACAGGAAAAUGUUCUGGUAUUUCAAAAAAUGCCUGAAAUUGAAAAGGAACAAAGUAAAACUCUUAAAGCAAAGAUAUUUGAAAAUAAAUUCUUCGUUGUAGAAGAGCCUACAGUUUUUAAAAAGGACCUUGAUCUUAUAAAAGAUUUUAGUUCUGAAGAGGAUGUAUCAGAGGAGGAAGAAGAUAUAAACUGGGACAUGGAAUUGGCUGAACUUUCUGAAGAUUCUGGUGGUCUUUCAGAAAAUAUUUGGGAAUGGGAAGAAUAUGAACUACCCAAAGGAAAGUCUGAUGAAAGGCGAGGUGAGAAAGGUUAA
rnacentral:lncRNA from 1 species